GAAACCCUAACCUCUUUUUCUACAAACCUCGUUCCAAAUUUUGCCCUAGUUCAAGAUGCGCACACCUCCAACAAAACCUCACAAGCCUCCGCCUAAUCAGAACUCCAAAAUCUCGCCGGAAAUCAAAUCGUCAUCAUCUCGGUCGUUUUCAGUAAUUCAGAUCUAGGAUUUACGGAGAUGCCGCAAGGGAAAUGGUUGUGGUGUGGUUAAACCUUCAAGGAGAAGAUACCACAGCUCCAGAUUCUUAAAGUUUGCAAGCUAUCCAACAUAUUGGGAAGAAAGACUUCAGAAUGAAAGAGUGAAAGAAUUCGACAGGCAAAAGAACACGGGGAAUCCUAGUCCCGGGCAUUUCUAGGGGCGGUGAUUGGAAAUCCGGUGGUAGCCGCCAGCUCGAGACACUACCAGACUUAAGUUCAAGGCUGAAGACCGUCUUGAUUCAAUCUUUUUAUAGCAAUAACAGUUCUUGUGCCGGGUUUGGAUGCGUGACACAAGAACAAAGAGACAAUGCUUUCCUUGAAGCUCUUAGACACAACUAUGGGAAGUCUCCUAAUGAGACUGAGGCGAUACUCUUAGGUUUCCAACAUUAUCUUGUGAUGCUUUGAACAACAGUUCUCAUUCCACCAACUCUUGUUCCUCAAAUGGGUGGGGCGGUGAUUGGAAAUCCGGUGGUAGCCGCCAGCUCGAGACACUACCAGACUUAAGUUCAAGGCUGAGUUGCCCGUAAAUUCAAGGCUACAUAUCCUAGAGGUCAUUUUUCCAUCAGUUUGUUGCUGUUCAAUCAUAAUUGAUGAUUACAUGAAGAAAAAUACUGAUUAAAGACGUGGUCUAUAAAUCAACACAAAGCAAGAAGAUAAUUGGAAACUGCUGCUAACUGAAUAAUCAUGGGAGAGAGAGUGUGGAACUGCCAUGAACUGCUGCUUCUAGAAGGAAUUACAUGGAGCAAAACCACCAGAUCAUCAUGGGGCAGAAAUGUAUGGAACCAAACCACCACCAGAAACUACCAGUAACUUCUCGUAACUCCUCUGAACCGCCGCUUGUAGCGGUUAUUUUUGCUAGUUUAUACGGCCCAGAUUUAAUCUCAGCAUGAUCGAACGGAUGAUAUUGAUUUCAAAGGUAACCGUCACUUAAUGGGUUC